UGGGGAAUCUUGGACAAUGGGGGCAACCCUGAUCCAGCCAUGCCGCGUGAGUGAUGAAGGCCUUAGGGUCGUAAAGCUCUUUCGCCUGUGAAGAUAAUGACGGUAGCAGGUAAAGAAACCCCGGCUAACUCCGUGCCAGCAGCCGCGGUAAUACGGAGGGGGUUAGCGUUGUUCGGAAUUACUGGGCGUAAAGCGCACGUAGGCGGACCAGAAAGUUGGGGGUGAAAUCCCGGGGGCUCAACCCCGGAACUGCCUCCAAAACUAUUGGUCUAGAGUUCGAGAGAGGUGAGUGGAAUUCCAAGUGUAGAGGUGAAAUUCGUAGAUAUUUGGAGGAACACCAGUGGCGAAGGCGGCUCACUGGCUCGAUACUGACGCUGAGGUGCGAAAAGUGUGGGGAGCAAAACAGGAUUAGAUACCCUGGUAGUCCACACCGUAAAACGAUGAAUGCCAGUCGUCGGGUAGCAUGCUAUUCGGUGACACACCUAACGGAUUAAGCAUUCCGCCUGGGG
rnacentral:rRNA from 1 species